CCUUGUCUAUUAGUUGCCAUCUAUUUAGUUGGCACUCUAAUGAGACUGCCGUGACAACCGGAGGAAGGUGGGGAUGACGUCAAGUCCUCAUGGCCCUUAUGGGUAGGGCUUCACACGUCAUACAAUGGUCGGUACAGAGGGUUGCCAAGCCGCGAGGUGGAGCCAAUCCCUUAAAGCCGAUCGUAGUCCGGAUCGUAGUCUGCAACUCGACUACGUGAAGUCGGAAUCGCUAGUAAUCGCAGAUCAGCAUGCUGCGGUGAAUACGUUCCCGGGCCUU
rnacentral:rRNA from 1 species